rnacentral:lncRNA from 1 species
AAAUCUACACGUAAAAUACUUAGAUCUUCAAGAACUCAAAGGAGGGCUUUGCAAGAUUUCUCCCAAAAGGUAAUCCUACACCUUAAGACUUACAUGUAUGGAUAUAUUAUGGGAACAUGUGUAUGAAUUAAGUAUUAGAACUUAUGGUAUGGUGAUUGGAAGCCAUAAGUUCCCAAUUUAAAUACAUAACCAUUUUAGAGAUUGCAAGGUGAUUAUUUUAUGGGAUUUUGUUGGUUGAGUAAGGAUGGAUAGUCAUGUAUGUGAUGUUGGAAGUUAUGAAUUGUUUAAGAAUGAUGGUGAGAUAAAUUGUUGGUAAAUGGUAGUAGUUGGAUGAACUAAUUCUAUGGUUAAGAGAUGUAGAGAUUCAUGCCUACUAAGUGUUUGAUAAAAUGCCUAAAUGGCCUAAACUAUGGAAUUUGUUACUAAUGUUGUUCCCAUUGGAUGUUGUUAUUGUAUAUUGAAGUUUCUUAGUGUAGUGGACCACUGUAGUAUCAUUAAGGGGCGAAUUUAAGGUAUGUUGGCUAAACUACUCUCUUAGAUUUGAAUUCCACGAUGUUCCCGUAAGUUUCAAGUAUGGUUGUCUCAAGUUCCUUAUUCUAUGUUCCGAGAUGUUCCCAAUAAUUUUGAUUGUCCUGAAUAAGCAUAGCGUCGAGAAUUAUAUAUUCAAAACAUGUUACGAACAUCCCUAUCACAUUAUCUUAUCCUUUGGGAAUGUGUUGAAGAAUGAUAUGUGUAAUAAAAUUCUCUGUCUUUGAGUCAUGUUUCAAAUGAAGGCUAUGAUGCCAAAUUGUAUAAGAAAAUCUCAAUAUGCUUAAGACUCUUAAUUGCUCAUAUGUGUACCUAAAGUCUUGAUUGGAAAUGUCUUAUUGUUGAUAAUCUAUAAAGAUGGUUGGAAGUGAAAUAAGUGAAUUGGGGAUAUAAAGUGUGGCCAACGUGCCAAGUGUGAAAGUUAUGAAAUGAGCUGAUGUGAGAAAGAUUAUGAAAUGAGCUUUGAUUCAACUGUACCAUAAUUGACUUCGAAAAUAGAAUUUCCUAAAUGCUUAUGAACUCAAGUCGUGCCCAUAUGUGGCUGUUUUAACAAAUGCUAUGCUUUGUGAGUAUUUUCAAUGUGUUUUGCUUUCUUACAUAUUCAUGAGUGGAAAUUGUUUAUUGCCCUUUUUGGGGAAAAUUAUUUCAAGAAUAAAUAGUGUAUUAUGUGUUGAUGAUUUUAACUUGCACAUCAGUUGCCAAUUAGUUUACUCUAUUUCUCGAAAAGAAAUUUAUUGUGCUUAAAUUGUUCAUUUCUAAUGAACUUAAAGUUUUGAUUUCAAAAAUAUUAUAUAUAUUGAUAUUUAUGAUGAUGACACAUGAGAGGGAAGAAAUGAAAGUGUGGAAUAUAAAAUAUGGCCAUCGUGCCUUGAAUAAUGAAUCUUGUAAAUGGCCAAAAGAGCUAUGUGAAUAUUGUUGUUGUUAUUGGUUGAAAAUACUAGUGGAGAUUCAUACAAUGUGAAAGAUGGUGAGGUAAAUACAUUUGUACUUAUAUUACCUUUGUGUUCAAAAAAUAUAAUAAUAUUUUUGGGAGUAUCGAUAGUCACCAAGGAAGGGUAGGUUAAAAUAACCUAACCUAGAAACUACACAUACCAGUGUAGGAAUAGAUUGUGAUUAUUCUCCUUAUUUGGGAUGAUAUUGAUGUGAUAAAAUUAUUCCCCUUAAUUGUGAUGAGAUGAUUUAUAGAAAAGGACGAUGUCGAUCCAUAUGACAUUGUGGUGAGAUGGCCUAGCCGAUCGGGUCGUGAUCGGACACCAUGCCGCACAAAUGGUUGUGAUUGUGCUGGAAAUUUUAAUUGAAAUUGUGAUUAUGGUUGAUGUCUCUAAUGAAAUGGCCUAACCGAUCGGGUUGUGAUUGGACUCCGUGCUAAAGGUAUGGUGGUAUUGGUAUUGAGAGUGAUUGUGGUUGAUGUCUCUAAUGAGAUAGCCUAGCCGAUCGGGUCGUGAUCGGACUCCAUGUUAAAACUAUGGUGGUAUUGGUAUUGUGAAUAUUGAUGUUGUGACCAUUGGUAUUGUGAACAUUGGUAUUGUGAACAUUGGUAUUGUGAACAUUGGAAUUGUGAACAAUGGUAUUGUGAAUAGUGGUAUAUCGGUGCUAAAGAUCUCCCAACCAAAAAUAAUAUUAUCAUCAUAUUUUGAUUAUCACUUCACAGUAUUAUCUUCAUAUUUGGGGAAUUAUUAUGUUUUAACUUGGCAUUUGAAUAUCAUUGGUUGAUGAUUGUUGUUUCCAUGGUUUCCCUUUCUUAUAUUGACAUUCUAAUUUUAAAUAGGACAAUUAGCCUUACAUAUUAGUACUAUUGCAUAUGUAUUAACAUCUCUUUUUGCUCAGGGCGCUGCAUCUUUAAUGGAUGCAGGUGGUUCAUCAGCGGGCAACUUUGGUCCUCGUUAGCAGUCACUCUCUAUUCAGCAGAUUUUGGUGACCCCUACUCUAUUCCGGGCAUGAUGUCAUUUGAGUUGUACAUUUUCAUUUAAGGUAUAGCCGGGGCCUUGUUGCCGGCAUUCUCAUAUUACUCUUCUAUUGUACUUAGAGGCUCCGUAGAUAGGUUGUGGGUGGUGUUUGAUGUGUGGAAUUGAACUAGAAAUGUUGGUACUUGGCAAACAUGUUUUUUAUUAUAUCUAUAAACAUGUAAUAUUUUGGAAAUUAUAAAUGAAGCUGCUAAUGGAAAUGAAGUAGGAGUUGUUAAUGAAAUCUUUUUAGUGUUUGAUUAAUGGAGUACAUGUCCUCUUUAUUCAUGGAUGAGUUUGGGUAGAUGGAAAUCUAACAGGCUUGCUUGGCCGGGUUCACUCGGUUGACUGCCGGUAGCGCUCCCUGAGUUCGGGCCGUGACAAACUUGAUAUCAUAGCCUAAGGUUUAAUGUGUCCUAGGAUGUCCUGGAGCCGCGUCUAGUAGAGUCCUUCUUAUCAGUGUGUUGUCGACCACAUCUAUAAUAAGGAGGAUACUUGGACAUUUAGGAAUUUCACGUUUCUUUGAUACUCCAUAUUGUGCGAUAGAGCUCAAGAUAGGAAGUUAAUUUCCUCAUCAUAUCUCAUUUUCCAUAUGAGUAACCCACAGGUUCAAGGUAGGGAAGAGGUAUUGAAUGAACCAGUUGCUAGGGGAAGUGUCCUUGUUCCUAUUAAUGUUACCGCGCCACCAGAAUAUGCGGUGAGAGCACCUACGAAAUGAAAGAGGAUUAUUGGCAUCAAUAAGCCGGAAUUGAUAUGAAAGAAGAUCCACUAGAGUUUAUGUUGGAUGAUUCUUGAAAUACAUUAUGGUUGUGGAAAGAGGGGGCACAGGAAGAACAAUAGCCCUUAGGUUGGUUACACCCAUCCCAGUCUGCCCGAUAUGCGGGCAGGAACAUUUUGCAACGUGUUGUGAGUACGCUCAAGAGUAUGUUAGGGACCAAUGGCCCACAUAACAAACCGGUAUAGAGAUUGUUACUCCCGCCAUGAAGGCUUGGAGGAUGGAUAGGGGAAUGUUUUUUAUGUAUAUAAAAAGGGUAAAUAUCAGGUCAGUGGGGCGAGUUACUUUAGUGGACCUCAUCCCCAUUGCGUGAAGUGUAAGAGAUAUCAUUCGGGGGUAUGUCACUAUGGUACUAAUGCAUGUUGUGAAUGUGGAGUCGAGGGGCAUCAAUUAAGGUAUUUCCAUAUCAAUCUAAAAUCACAAAGUGAGUCAUUCCUUAAUACAUUUAUAAACAUUGCAUGUACUUACUUUCUGAAUGAGAUGUAUUAUUCGUGAAGCCACUCUAUCACAAAUUCUCUUACUUACAAUCUCUGGUGGAACUGAGCUCUAUAAUUAUUUCUUUGGAUUGAGUUAUAACUCUAGGAUUAAUACUUCCCACUUGCUUUCCUAAAUUAUCAACAAGAGACUAUACUUGAUGAAUUUCUUACAGAACCUUUUUAUUCAAAUGGAUAACAUCUGCUCACUUGUGCUUAUGAAUGUACAGUCAUAAAGUUUACCUAUGUGGUAUCAAAUCCAAUGUAUAGCGGCCUAGCCUUCAGAUCCUUCUUGAGCCACUCUCUCUGGUGUAUGUGGCUCCUAUGAUUGGAACAGUUACUUUACUCCUUUGUGAAUAUUUUCAUGAAUCAUUUUCAUUGUCUAGUAAUAUGAGAGCAUAUCUCAACAUCUAUCAUAUGUGUACCUGUAAAUUGAAAGGGGUCACUUCUCAGCAUAAAGUUUCUAGGACAUUUGAAAUAUUUCUUACAAAUUCGUCACAAGAAGAUCUUUUUGUUCGCCCAUCUCAAUAUGACUUUCAUGUCCACCUAGAGCAUGCCUCGGUGAGCAAGUCACUUUGUUUUUAGUAUUGUAGUUGCCUGUCAAGUGGUCUGACAUGGAAGCUUGAGAGUUGUUAUGGUAGAAACAUGUCUAGCUCAUAGCAAAGUGUUCAUUAUCUCUGACCAAUACAUAAUUUCACCCCAAUAUUAGGAUGUCCUAGCAAUGUGGUUUCACUCGUGAAAGGCUGAAAUUAUAUGCUUUCAGAUUUUGGCACGUAUGAUGAGCAUAUUGAUUUGAAAGACUAGUUUGUCGUAUCUUUAGUCCUCUCAUAUAGGAUCAACUACUGGCAAGGGAUGAGCUGUCAGAAUGAUAAUAAUCUCGCAAGUGUUCAACUUCUUUUUCAACCUCAUGUGCUUGUGGCAUAUCUAUUCUUUGUGUCAGUUAAUGUUAAAAGCAUAAUGCAAUUCCAUGCAUUUUGAAACCCAUAGCACAUUCAGGGUGCCAAAAUAUUCUCAUUUUGAGUUGAACUGAUUUUCCCUACACUCCAGGAGGCGACUGAAGUCACGUACUUGGCUAUUUCUCUUUGAGGCAUACAGUUGCCGAACAAGGCAUAUAUGGAAUGAAACAAUUGUUGUUGUCCUUUUCAUGACUCAUAGUCUUCCAAGAAUAACUGACGCUAAUGUCUUUAUCCUCCCGACCAUGCCUCCCAUAUGUCACAUGUCUAAAAUGACUCAAUUUAUUUUGAAUCUCAGAAUCAUGAACAUGGUCCCUACAUUAUCAAUGCCUACUAGGCAACUCUAUGCCUCAUUUGUCGAAAAAAUGAUGUCAUCACAAUGAUUAACCAUGUUAGCACUAAUGGUAGUAACCUUCAUGUCUCUUAGGAUAUAACCUCUUGAAAUGCCCUGCUCAGCACAUUUAUGGAUUCUUGAAUAAUUCCAGUCCAAUCUUUAACCUUGUUGUUAUUAUUUAUAGUAACCUAUGGGGGUUGAAGUUUCAAACAUGUCAAAGAAGAAGCAUCAUCCCAUGAUCAAAUAUAUUUGAUAGGAAGUUUUAUGGUCAUAUUCAAGAUAGCACACCUUAGAGUAACUGUUGGAGGUCGCCAAAGGUUUUGUUUUGGGUGUUUGCCAUAGGGAUUUAGAGUUGAAGAAAGUGAGCAGGAUAUUCUCAAUAUUUUCUCAAUCAAUAUAUUGGGUGAAUUGUUAAGGAAGGUAAAGUAUGUGUAGUCACAUUAGGCCUUAUUGAAUAUUGAAGGAAAUGGGCGAAACUACGAGCAUGAUGUUUUCCCAUCGUUGUCUCCAUGCACCCGAUGCAUCAUGUAUCUAGGUUCCAGAAGGUUGUUAGAAAUCCUUUGCCUAUCGUUCCGGUGGAAUCUAUUGAAGGUGAAGUUAAUGGGUAAUUGGCUUAUAAAAGAUACCUAUUUGUCAUUCCUGUUUGAUAAGUCCUGAAAUUGAUAUCUGCCUCUGUCAAAGUAAAGGAAGUAUUCUCACUUGCUUGUAUAACCAAAUGGUUAUGGUUCAAAAGGUUAAUUGUUAUGUGUAAUGAUUAAAUAUGUGUAACUCAUAUCUAGAUACUACUUAUGUUAAUGUAACACCCUUAAUGUAGAUCAGUGUUAUUGAUAUAUACUGUGAUGCUUUGUUGAGUUAUGGAUAUGUUGCUAGGGUGGUUUUGCGAAUCUCUGCAAUGACCCAACUGAUCGUUUUGAGAGUUAUAGGGGAUCUCCUGAGAUACCGUCUUAUAGUAACACGAUUCCAGGGGAGUUCUCGGCUGUUAUCUUUCAUUGAUUGUAUUCCUGUUAGAUUUCUGUAUUUAUUUUUACUACAAUAUUUCAUUCUGUCUUGUUUCAUUAUAUUUAUACCAGUAGGGACCUAACCUAAUCUCGUCACUACUCGACUGAGGUUAGGCUUGGCACUUACUGGGUACCGUUGUGGUAUACUCACACCCUUUCUUGCACAUGUUUUUCGUGUGCAGAUCCGGGUUCAUCUUACUAGCCUGACAACUAGUUGCAGUUGCUGCCUCUUAUUGGAGACUUCAAGAUACAUUUUCCCACGCCCGAAGAUCCUCGGAGUCCCCCUAUAUCCCCCUAUGUUCAUUUUUCUUUUCUUCUGUAGAAAUGAUGUAUAAAAGAGUUAAGACUUCUUAGCAGCUUGCGACUUGCGGGUUUCCGGGUUUUGGGAAUGUUUUCGUACUUCUUCAGAGGUGAUAAUUGUAUAUGUUGAGUUGCAUUCAGUUGCUUAUUAGAUAUUUGUUACUGUUAGUAGUUAAUGUUCAUGAUUUUGUUCGAUUUUCGUAAAGUGUUAGGCUUAACUACUCGUAGAGACUAGGUUCCAUCACGAUGGUUCACGGAGGGAGAAAUUGCAUCGUGACAAGUUGGUAUCAGAGUUCUAGGUUCAUAGGAAUCGUGAGACGCAAGCCGGUCAAGCAACCUCCCCAACACGCCAAUGGGUAUCUUGGACAGGCAGGUCAGAAAACUAAGGUCAAAGAACAUUGCUUCAGUAAAGGUCCAGUGGAGGGGUCAGCAGGUCGAGGAGUUGACUUGGGAGACCGAGCGGGAUAUGCGCAAUUGUUAUCCUCAUAUUUUCACGGCUUCAGGUAUGUCUUUAUGCUUUUUUGAGGACGAAUGAUUGUUUUUAGACGGGAAGGAUGUAACGUCCUGGCCAGUCAGUUUGAGAGUUAUAGCCCCGAUCCCUUAUUAAUUAUUUCCCCCUUAUCUUAUUCUGCUAUUUUGCAAUACUAGGAGAGUUUGCAUUGGUUUUGAAGUGAAUUGAGACACUUAGUCUCUUAUUGGGAAGCUUAAGUUGGAAAAGUCGACCGGAUGUCGACUUAUGUGUAACGACCUCGUAUUUGAAGUUUUAUGACUCUGUUAGCUUCGUAAGGUGAUUUUGGACUUAGGGGCGUGUCCGGAUAGUGUUUUGGAGGUUUGUAGUAGAUUUAGGCUUGAAUUUGUGAAAGUUGGAAUUUUUGCGAUUUUUGUCGGCAGUGAAAAUUUUGAUAUCGGACCCGUAAUGGAAUUCCGGAUAUCGGAGUAGGUUCGUUGUGUCAUUGACGACUUGUGGGUAAAGUUUGAGGUCAUUCAGACGAGAUUUGAUAGGUUUCGAUGUCAUUUUGUAGAUUUGGGAAAUUUCAAAGUUCCUUAGUCUUGAAUCCACGCUUAAUUCGUGUUUUUGAUGUUGUUCGAUGUGAUUUGAAGGCUCGACUAAGUUCGUAUGGUAUUUAGGAUUGGUUUGUAUGUUUGGUUGAGGUCCCGGGGGCCUCGGGUGAGUUUUGGGUGCUUAAUGAGUUGAUUUGGACUUAGGUGAAGCUGCUGAUAUUGAUGUAUCUAGUGUCACCACACCUGCGCACUUUGGCCCGCAGGUGCGGAGCCGUAGAAGCGGCUAUGGAACCGUAGAAGCAGAAAUGGGAAGGAGGUCUAGGAUCGCAGGUGCGAGUGCUGUUCCGCAUCUGAGAUGCCCGCAUAUGCGAGUGAAGGAACUGCAAGAGCGGUCUGGGACUGCAGAAGCGGACAAAGGUCCGCAGGUGCGACCUCUUGAUCGUAGAUGCAGACAAGGUACUUUAAGUGAAAAGUCGCACCUGCGAUGGGAAUAUCGCAGGUGUGGAACUGCAGAUGCGAUCCUUGGCCCGUUGGUGCGAUAAUUGUUGGGCAGAAAAAGGCAGAUGCGAGGGUUGGAAUUUCAUAACACAAAAUUUGAUUGAGAGCUCAGAGGAAGGCGAUUUUUCUCGAGUCUUUCAGAGGAAAUCAGUGGGUAACGAUUCCUAAUCGUAUUUUGAUCAUAUGUCAUUAAUCCAUAGUUAUUUUCUUCAUUAAAUUAGGGAAAUUUGAGUGAGGAAAUUGGGGAAUUGGGGGGAAAGUUCCCCAACCAAAAAUCUGAGUUUUGAGUGGGAAUUAGGCGUCGGUUUUGGAUGAUUUUUGUACGAGUGACCUCGUGAGUGAAUGGGUGUUAUUAUUUGGUAACAUUUACCCUAUUCCAAGACGUAGGCCCGGGGAGACCUUUUGGGCGUUUUUCUAAUUUCUUACCUUAGCUUUGACUUCGUUAGCUAGAUUAGUUUCUUGUAGCUAUAUUUAUGUUAUGUAAUUGAUGUUGGCUAGAUUUAGGCCACUCGGAGUCAGAUAUUCGUGGAAAAAGCAUUGUGACGGAUUGAUUUAAGCUUGGUUCGAGGUAAGUGUCUUGCCUAACAUUGCGUGGGGGAACCCCCUUAGGAUUGGUACUGUUUGAUAUGUGAGCGCCGUGUACGUGAGGUGACGAGUACGUACAGGAGCUAUUUGUUGUAAAACUCUAUUUUUCACUAAGUCAUAACUUGUUUUCUCCUUAUUUGAAACACACUAGCAUAUGCAACUAUCCUGUUUAGACUAGAAUAGCAUGCCUACUUCUUUAACUGCCUAUUUGAACUCUGUGCAACAUGUUUAGUGAAAUUUUUUGCUUUCCUUAACUUGAACUUAGUCUGAACUGUAGGAUUUCUUGCUGUCACUGUAAUUUUUGUUGGUUGCGCUGCAUAUUUACUUUGGGACUACGGAACGGUAUUCCGGGGGAUCCCCAUGUACUCCAUAUUUACUUUGGGACUACGUAACGGUAUUCCGGGAGAUCCCCUUUUACUGCAUAUUUACUUUGGGACUACGAAACGGUAUUCCGGAAGACCCCCCUACUCAGCAUAUUUAUUUUGGAACUACGAAACGCUAUUCCGGGAGAUCCCCCUACAAAUUUACGUUUGGGACUACGAGAUGGUAUCUCAGGAGAUCCUCUGUUGUUAUCACUGUGUUCUGAGCUGUUGUCUUUCAUUAAUUCUAUUCCUAUUAGAUUUCUGUAUUUAUUUUUACUACGAUAUUUCAUUCUGUCUUAUUUCAUUAUAUUUAUUCCAAUAUGGCCCUGACUCGAUCUCGUCACUACUCGACCGAGGUUAGGCUUGACACUUACUGGGUACCGUUGUGGUGUACUCACGCCCUUUCCUGCGCAUUUUUUUUUGUGUGUAGAUCCAGGUUCAUCUUACCAUCCUUAUCACUCGUUGCAGUUGUUGCCGCUUAUUGGACACUUCAAGGUACAUCUGUCUCCGCCUGCAAAUCCUCGAAGUCCCCCUCUAUCCCCCUAUGUUCAUUUUUCUUUCCUUUUGUAGAAAUGAUGUAUAUAAGAGUUAAGACUUCUUAGCAACUUGUGACUUGCGGGUUUUGGGAAUGUUUUCGUACUUCUUCAAAGGUGAUAAUUGUAUAUUCUUAUUGGCAUUCAGUUGCUUAUUAGAUAUUUGUUACUAUUAAUAGUUAAUGUUCAUGCUUUUGUUUCAUUUCCGCAAAGUAUUAGGCUCACCUAGUCAUACAGACUAGGUGCCGUCAAGACGGUUCACGGAGGGAGAAAUUGGGUCGUGACAAUCUCUGACAGGUGGAUAGGCCCCAAUUAGAGGGGAGACUCUGGCGAAAAUUUUGUAAAUUUAGGGAGUUAGUCAAAAAUUUAGAACUGCUGGUGUGUGUUAUAGCAACUGAGUCACGUUUGGUGCUAAUGGUGAAUUUUUACCCUCAUUCGAGGACGAAUGAUCCUAAGCGGGGAAGAAUAUAAGGCCCCAUUAAAAAUUUCCUAAUGAUUUAAGAUUUUAAAGUGCGCCAGUUGUAUUUGAGGAUAACGUAUUCGAGUAUUAAAGGAGACCUAUGGGAUAGGACCACAUCACUUUGAAAUGAAAAUAUAUGUUUAAGGUGUGUUGGAAUAUAAUAAGGAGUUUUGGGAAUGGUAGGAAUUUUUGUUGAACAAGUUGGAUACAUUAAGUGGAAAGGAUGUCUCGAUUAACACAAGACCCAACUUCAAACAAAUAGAAAUCCCUCAAUAUAAAGACUUAGGUUGUGAUAUACCUAUCCAAUUAAAUCCCUCUGAGUCUAAUUUCUAACGCUUCAAACCGUUCCUCAUUUGGAUAUUUAUUCAAGAAGUUAUGAGCAAAUUACCAAAGGCUGGCAAAGGAGUGAACAACUGAUGCGAUGUAUCCGAGGCCGUAUCCGAAAGAAGGGCUGGCAGUGAAGUGCUGCCAUAGCAUCUGGUGCAGCAUCCAAAACCCAGAAAUCUGGGCCUAUAACUAUAAUUUCGGGGUUCAUUUUUCCCACUUCACUUUGACAAAUUUUGGAGCUCUUCUCCACUCUCUCAAGACCACCAACUCCUCUCUUCUUCAAGGUAAGCAAUCCCCAUUACCUUGGUGUGAAAUUCCAUCAUUUCUACACUAGUAUUGAUGAAAUCUACACAUAAAAUACUUAGAUCUUCAAGAAAUUUCUUCAAGAAGUCAAAGGAUGGUUUUGCAAGAUUUCUUCCAAAAGGUAAUCUUACACCCUUAGACUUACAUGUAUGGAUAUAUUAUGGGAACAUGAGUAUGAAUUAGCUAUUAGAACUUAUGGCAUGGUGAUUGGAAGCCAUAAGUUCCCAAUUUAACUACAUAACCAUUGUAGAGAUUGAAAGGUGAUUAUUUGAUGGAAUUUUAUUUGUU